rnacentral:lncRNA from 1 species
GUACACCUGUCGUUUCCACAGGCAGGACACGAGCCGUCACCCUGAGACUCUCAAAGCGGGACAAGCCUGUCACCCGCUGCCUCUGGGUCCCGUGGGAGCCAGGAGUCCAGGCAGGGGGUGGGGCCUCUUCAGGCUGCUCUCUGGGCCGCUGGCCGCCCCACCUCUGCCAGGUCUCCCGCUCUGGGUCACCUUGCUCCCGGGCCUGGGUGGGCAGCCCGUGCAAGGCCGUCCCACAGACUUGGCGCCGGCUGGGAGCCCAGGGUAAGUCCCUGGCCCCGGGUGGCCCAGGACCAUCACUUUCCUUUUCUCGUAAAAGGAAGAGAAAUUGUCACCGUCAGUUUCGCUCUGAGCUCGUCCGCCGUCUUUCCAGUAACCGAGGCCAAGGGGCCGGCCACCGCCCAGGGCUCCCGUGGGGCCUUGGGGACUGUGGUCCCGGCACCUGGCCCCCGCUUCACCUCCCCCCGCACCCCCCCCCCGGGCUUGUGGGGUCUGGUUUCCCUUGACACCAGAGUGAGCCCCCCAGGCCGCUGGGGCCCAGGACUCCUCCGCUGUGGUUGGUCCCGUGGGCGUCUGUCCCCAGGGCGCUGAACUCCUGGUGCUAAAAGCAGAAUUGCUUUUCAGUAAAUGUCAUUACUCAAAAGGAAGUCGUCACUCCCACCGCCACCCCAGCCUCGCCAGCAGCACCGCCUGCCUGGCCUGGUGGGGAGAGGCCCGUGGCUCCCAGUGGCCUCCCCCCGUGCCCAGGGGACGCUGAAGGUGGGGUUCAGAGGCCACAGCCUGCGGGGCAGCCACUGUGCUGACUCGGCACGGGAGAGGCUCACGCCCCAGGUCUUGGUGGCCUCGGCAGGACCCAGUGGGAGCCCGCAGAGGGGACGCUGUCCUUCUGCUGAAUCGGGGGCUGCCGGCCACCCUGCUCGGCACCGUCCUCCUCCCUGUUUCCUCUUCCCCGAGAGGAAGGGCCACGCCGUGGUGUCAGGAGCUGAGUGGCUCGGUGACUGCCACACACCGUGAGGGUGGAGGGUGCGAGGUCGUCCUUCGUGGUGACAGUGAGACUGGGUUGAGAUGACAGGCCAGAGUGCUCUCCCACUGCCAGCCUCAGUUGUCUCCUGUAGGGCGAGGAGGGACGCCACGCUCCAGGUGUCUGGGGGGCCCGGGGGACCGGGAUCAGGCAGCCUGCCAUGCACACAGUAGGUGCACACAGUAGGUGCGCACAGUAGGUGCGCACAGUAGGUGCACAGGAACGCUGCUCCGCUCCUUCUCUCUAUUGCCUUGGAGACGGCAGACCCCAGUGCCGAGCUGGUCCCCAAGGUGCUGGCCUGAGCCCUCCCGAGGCUCGAGGACACCUGAGGCCCCGCCUCCGCUGCCACUGCUGAGCUCUGGUCUCCACGGCAACCCGAGCAGUGAGGUCCUCGCAGGUGACUGAGCCCGGAGGCCACCCCGUCACCCCGCCACACACCAGUCCCUGCACCAUACAACCUGACUUGGAGAUUCCCACGGUGCGCCCACGUCACCAAGGGCCCAGCGGCACUCGGGUGUGACGAUGGGGUGUCACCUUUAGUCAGUUUUUCCUUCUGAGAUGACUGUAGACUGGCCUGCUGUGGGAGUGAGCAGAGAACCCACAGGCGCACCCCAGGUCCCCCGGCGGUAACCCGGGCCGCCGUGGGUCCCCGCAGGGUGCUGACGCGGACGUCCCUGCCCAGGAGCCGGCCGCAGCCCUCCCCGCGCCCACCCCGCCUGCCCGGCCCGCGGAGCGCUGGCCUCUCUCCAUCUCUGUGAUUGUGCGGUCUCAAGAAUGUUCUAGAGCUGGAAUCGCAGGGUGCAGCCGCCCUCUGGGUUUUCUCAGCGUGAUUCUCUGUGGCACGGUCCCCUCUGUCCUGUGCCUUGAGAUCUGUUCUUCCACGGGGACAGCGCGGGCCUCGGCCUCUUCAUCUCUCACCUGGAGGCUCCGGGCUGGGUCCAGCUUCCCCCGGGGUUGGGAGGGCUCCGGGGACACUGGCACCUCUGUGUGAACCUGUCCCCAGUCCUGUGUCGGGGACGGCACCUGCUGUGUGGCUUGGUGGCUUUAAGAAGUGGCUCGUUUUCUCGGACACCAGCAUCACUCCGGGGCCUCAGGCGCGAGCAGGUGAUCCGUCCUCCAGCUCCUCGGGCUCCGGACUCUGUUCUGUUCUUAGUCCUUCUAGGCGGGCGGCAAGGUCCAGCUGUGGCUAUCCUCUGCAUGUCCUCUCGGUGCCCAGUGCCUCUGGGGUCCUCUUCAGUGACCCUCUCUUCCUGGCUUUGCUCGGUUUCUGUUUAGAUUCUCCGCUGCUGGGUGGACAGGCUCUAGGCGCAGGACUCGGCCACACGGCGCUGGCAGGGCUUCUCUCGGAGGCUCUUCUUAUUUUGAGACAGGGUCUCUCUGAGCUGCUUUGGGCCUCGCUGAGUGGCUGAGGCUGGCUUCAAACCUGCGAUCCUCCUGCCUCAGCCUCCAGAGCCACUGGGAUUAUGGCCGUGCGCUACCGCUGCGCCCGGCUCCUCGUCCUCAAGGAGCCUUCCACGGAGCGAACAUGUUCAUUUUGACGAGGUUCCCUUUGUUGACCUUGGUCUCUCACGAAGCUGCUCCUGUUCUCCGUACAGACGUCCCGAUGCCCCAGGUAUUUAUUGAAAAGGCCCUCCUCCCGCCACCCAGUGACCGCUGCAUCUGUGUCAGACGUCAGCAGGGCCAUGGGCCUCUGACCCUGGUCCCUCCGUGCUGCCCGGGAUCUGUGUGUCCCUCCCUCUGGUCCUCCUCAUUACUGCAGCGGUACAGCGACCUUGACGUUCACAGAAUGAUUUCUCCUAAUUAUAGAGAUGACAUGUUCUCAGUCAUUGAUAAACAGGUGGGAAAACUCUGUCCCUUAAAGUCAUUCGUUAAAAAAGAAAAUACUGAGGCAGAGAUGGCCAAGGGUCCCCAAAGACUCCCGCUCCUCCUCCAGCACGCGGAGCUGCUGAUGGUCAGGAGCUGCCCGGCCAGCAGAAGAGGUGACCAGCUCUGGCCAGUGGGACCUAAGGGGAAGUGCCGUGUUGUCAUCGUGGGCCAAGAUGCUGAGCCUGUGCCUCUUCCGCCGUCUCUCCUCUCCUGGCCGCUGGAUGGACGUCAAAAAUCAGUUUGGGGCCAGGUGUGGUGGCACAGGCCGGUGAUCCCAGUGACUCAGGAGGCUAAGGCAGGAGGAUCCCAAGUUCAAGGCCAGCCUCGGCCACUUAGCAAGGCCCUAAGCAACUCAGUGAGACCCCGUCUCUAAAUAAAAUAUUAAAAAGGGCUGGGGAUGUAGCUCAGUGGUUAAGAGCCACUGGGUUCAAUCCCCACUCCCCAAAAACAUCAUUUUUGACAGGGUCUAUCAGGUGACCUUAGUCUACCUGUCAAAGAUGACAGAGGACACACCACUCAGGAUGUGUGGCAGUGCCAAGCCGAGCUCCUCCCCUUGUCAAACGUCCCUAUGACCAGGAAUUUAUGCUUCUAUAAGUGAAGUGCUGCGACACUGCUAAAUGUUAAAAAUAGAAAUAAAAAUGGAACUCCUCACGCCCAGCCGUGCCCACGUAACGCCUUCUCACGUGCGUGCCCUGGGCGCUCAUGCUGCUGGAGGCGUGUACCCCAGUCCUGUGAUGUGAAGAUGGGAAGGCACAUUCUACCCUCUAUAACAGAGAAGCAGAGACCCAGAGAAGGAGUGGGCUGUCCCCAAGGUCACACAGCAAAUCCAGGGCUGAACUCUCGAAAUUCCACUAGUUAAAGGUAACUGAUCUCCCUGAACCUUUGAUUCCUUCUUUGAAAGGACGGGCAAGUCGGAGCACGUAUCCCCCAGGACUCCCAGUGGACAAUUAUGAAAACAAAACGUAAUUAACGAUUCCUCGUGAGGCAGGGCAGGAGCUCCCAGGGCAGGGCGGCGCCAGUUUUGGGGAGAAGUAAUUUUAAGACUUCCCACCUUUCAUGGGGUUCGGGGAACAAUUUAUAAUGAGCCCUAAUAAACACCACGCACUGGCCGUGACCUCUGGAACAAAGUCCCUGCCUCCUAGAGUCGCCGGGCCCUGUGAUGUGGGCUCCGAGUGUUGAGGUUUUGGAAAAGGAGGCCACGAGGGGUUUAUGGGAACCGAGGGGGUCAGAGGGCGCCAGGGUGCGGCUCUGGGGGGCCCUGGGGGUGGGUACAGCUGGGUACCGGGCACGAGCUGCAGCCCCUGGUCAGCUGUGGCCAGCCGUCCACCACCCCGAGGCAGCUCAGUCCCCUGGGUCAUGAAGACACCCACCGCAGGCGGGGGAGGCUGAGCCAGAGGCGUCUGGUGCCUGCACCGCGUAGUAGCUCAGGCCGGUCCCUGGCCCGUCCCCUGUCCCCUCUGCAGGGCCAGUGAGCGGUGGGGAGGAGUGGGACGGCGGCUCCAGCCUGAGCCUCGUGUUGUUUGGAGCCUGUUCCCGGCUCAGGCUCCCUGCAGUGGCCUCGAGGUGAUCCUGGCAGGCAGCCCCGUGGGGUCCCCCGUGUGGCCCACCGUGGGGUCCCCCUGCGGGUCACAGGACAUCUGCAUCACCUGGUGGUGAGUCAGCAGCCGGCUCUUUCCUCUCUCAGCCUCUGGCUGCCCGGCUGCGUCUUUGCUUCGAGCCUCUCCUCUGGGCCUUCCCACUCUUCUCUCCAGCAGACGCCAGGUCACCUGUCCCCCACCCCUUCUGCAGGACCUCAUGACCAACCCUCUCCCUGCCCGCCCUGGUGUGCAGAGUGAAAUGCAGAGCGGAGGCCGGGGAGGCCGGAGGCCCAGGCCGCUUGCCCUCCCCGACGCCCCCGCGCGCCCCGGUCAGGGGGCCUGAUUACCCACACCUCAAGGUGGCGGCUGGCGGCUGGUAGGUGCCAACCCUCCAAUCGCAGCUUUAAUCGUCCCCUGGCCUUGGAGUUUAUUUGAACAAGAUCCAGUUCUGACCUGGACGAAGGCAGGAGGCUGGCGGAGGGCCAGGCUUUGGAGGGAGGAGGGAGGAGGGGACGGCUGCCACCAGCCUGGACUCCCAGGGGACGCUGGCCCGGAGAGGAAGCCACCUCCCGCAGCCCGGGCUGCCUGGCAGCUGUCACUGCGGAGCUCAGCCCAGCUGGCAAGUGGACAUUGCAGCACAUGAAGGCUCGGGCAGAGAGCUGGCCGCCACCCGUCGCUCUCGGGGACCGAGUGGAACUGGGGGGCCAUGGGGCCUGGCUUCCACUCACCCAUGGCCUGGUCGCUGGGGAGCCCGGCCCUGGGGCGAGAGGCUGCAGUGUCUGAUGGGAAACAGACCAGAGAGGGAAAGAGGCUGAUCUGGGUUCACCCAGCCAGAAAGUGUCUGGACUGCGGGGUGGUGCCCAGGUUGGUGCGGGUGGGGUGGGCAGCGUCCUACCUGCUCCGUGUCCUGGGUCUAGGCCCUGCUGGGCGACCCUGGGGCCCUCUUCAUCUCUCUGACCCUCUGUGUCCUCCUCUGUGCCAUGCGGAUCUUGGCGGCACAACACUCGAGGGGGGACUGCCAUCUCUGAGGCCCUGGUCCUGCGCUGGCUCCCUGGGAGGACUCUGGUGGGGAAGAGGGAGCACGGCCCCCGACAGAGCCAAGGCCACCUGCCCUUCCAUGGAGGCCCAGGCAGGGUGGGAGGACAGAGGCUUGGGUUCGCCCAGCCUCGGGGUGCAGGGGGACGGGGCUCCUGCUGGGUCCCGUGGAAGCCCAGGCGGGAGGCAGUGCAGGGGUGGCUCAGUCCUGCCCGGAAUCAAGCCCUGCCCUCGGGGCUGACCCUCAGCAGGGAGUUGGACAAUAAACAACUACACAGAUGCUUAAUAUAAAUGUUAUUCUUGUAUAAUGUUUGUGAAGUAGAAGGUGAGAUGUGGUGGGAAGAAAAAUAAAGCCAGGUGGGCAAAGCGGCGCAGGGCUACAGCGGACAGAGAGGUCAGGCAAGGCAAGAAGGGACCACGGCCGGUGUGGCCGGGAGCCGAGCAAAGGUCCUGAGGCAGGGCUGAGCGAGGAGGUUGGAGCAACAGCCGGAGGCCAGGCAGCAGGGUCAGGGCGCCGGCUCCACUGCGCCCAACAGCUGCACCUGGAGCUCGGUGAACGUUUGCUGGAUGAAUAAUAGAGACCUGAGGACUCCUUUCUUUUUCUUUUAAAAGUAUUUCUGCUUUAAAAUUAAUUUUAAUUACAAAACACAUUAUUAUGCUCUUUAAAGUCUUCUUACUGUUACAGCUUAUAUUUAAAUCCCUUUGACUUCCUCCUGGCCCCUCUCCAGGGUGGCUGUGAUGGGUUUGGCUUGUGUCUGUCCAGGAAUGAUCUCUGUGCACUUACAGAGAAGUGCCUGGCGACACUGUGUGUGUGUGUGUGUGUGUGUGAGUGUGAGAGUGAGUGAGUGCGUGUGUGUGUGUGAGUGUGAGUGUGAGAGAGUGUGCGUGUGUGUGUGUCAGUGGAUCAGAUGGGGCUCAGAGUUGCAGGCGCAGAACCAGCCCUGGGUGGUGGCCAUGGCUGGACUGUCCAGCUGAGCCGGGUGACGGUGCCCCGCUCUCUGACCAGAUGCUGGUCUGGGGGUCGCUAUGGAGAUGGCCGAAGGCAUGACUCACACCCACAACCAGCUGACUUUAUGUAAAAGAAACUACGUGGAAUACGCAGACGGGCCUCCUCCACCAGGCGAAGGCCUGAGAGCCCGAAGAGAGGCCUCCUGUGAAGGAGGACUUGGCCCCGGACUCCGCCGUCCACCUCUCUCCCGUGGCCAGCCCGCCGCCCCCCCUCGCUUCAGGUUUGUAAACUCUUUAGUCACAUAAACCAGUUUCUUUAAAAAUGAAAUUGAACGUGCAGAGUGGGUUGGGUGUCUCUGGGGAGCCCCGGGAGAGGUGACUGAGACAGAGGCAUAGACUGAAGGUCCCUGGGGGGGACAAAGACUCAGCUGUCGUCUCACAGACGGGGUCCCCCAGAGGACCUGCCACCCAUGGACGCUUCACAUCCUGACCACCAGGGAAAUGCAAAUCACAGCCACACGGAGAGGGAGGCCACCAGGGACCCACCAAAACGGCUAAGAGUAGGGGACACCGGGAGCUAAGGAAGACGGACACCCCGCAGGGAUGCGAAACGUCACGAGCACCUUGGACCCUGGCACUGCCUUCCACAGGGCCCCAGGUCGGUCUGCCCGGCAGGAGCGCAGGCAGGGUCACCCGGAGACAGAGACGGGAGGGGGGUUCACGGUGUCUGGGCACACUCGGCCCCUCACGAGCUCCCCAGUGCCAUCGGGGGACGGGGGGCAGGGCGUGCAGAGGCCGGGAGCCAACCCCCGAAGCAACAGCCGGAAAGAGCCCGAAGACCGGGAGAGCAGGGAGGGACGCGGCGCUGCCCAGCCACGUCUGUGCCUGCGAAGCCCUGGAAACAGGCACAGCCCCCAGCCACCCUAGGAAAGCCGUGACGGGGACAGGGCCUGGGGAACGGGGCUGGCUCCUGGAUGUGGUCGCACAGGUGUGUUCCCCUGUGAGGACGCUCGGUCAUCGCCGGUGACCUGCGCACUGUUCUGCACCUGUGACAAGUGCAGACUAACCCGGGCCCUGGGGUGACGGGAGGGUUGGAGGACACGGGGAGUUCUGAACCCUCCUGGUGGCCCUCUGCACAGAAGGCCACAGGCCGUGCCCCAGGCUGCAGGGGCGGUGGGCAGCCAGCCUCAGCCUCGGGUCUGGAGACACGCAACAGAGGUGAGGAUUUGUCCUUAAAACACGCGGCAACCACCCGUGGCCAAAUCCUGGACGGCCGGAGGGGCAGCGGGACCCGACGUCUGUUAAGAGCAAAGUCGUGCUGCUUCCUGGGAAUCUGAGCAACUUCCUGCCUGUGGCUCAUUCUCUCAUCUAGGCUCGGAGACGGUGACAGGGCCAGGUGACAGGUGACAGGGUGAAGGCUCUCAGAACCACCUGGCACGGGCGGGUGCUGCGUAGCUGUUUGCUGACGGCCAUCGUUGCUGUGGACGGGCUCAGGUGGUGGGUGACACACUGUGUCGCUUCCCAGGUGAGUGGCCCUGAGC